ensembl:lncRNA
UUCGCAUCAGGUGGCCAAAGUAUUGGAGUUUCAGCUUCAGCAUCAGUCCUUCCAAUGAACAUUCAGGACUGAUUUCCUUUAGAAUGGACUGGUUGGAUCUCCUUGUAGUCCAAGGGUCUCUCAAGAGUCUUCUCCAACACCACAAUUCAAAAGCAUCAAUUCUUUGGCACUCAGCUUUCUUUAUAAUCCCAACUCUCACAUCCGUUCAUGACUACUGGAAAAACCUUAGCCUUGACUAGACGAAUCUUUGUUGGCAUCAGUUCAGUUUAGUCGCUCAGUCGUGUCCCACUCUUUGUGACCCCAUGAAUCGCAGCACGCCAGGCCUCCCUGUCCAUCACCAACUCCCAGAGUUCACUCAAACUCAUGUCCAUCGAGUCGGUGAUGCCAUCCAGCCAUCUCAUCCUCUGUCGUCCCCUUCUCCUCCUGCCCCCAAUCCCUCCCAGCAUCAGGGUCUUUUCCAAUGAGUCAAUUCUUCGCAUGAGGUGGCUAAAGUAUUGGAGUUUCAGCUUUAGCAUCAGUCCUUCCAAUGAAUAGCCAAGUCUGAUCUCCUUUAGAAUGGACUGGUUGGAUCUCCUUGCAGUCCAAGGGACUCUCAGGAGUCUUCUCCAAGGCAUACAGUUACAUAAAACAUUUUCCCACAGGACUCAGAUCCUCCACGUGCAGAGCUGUGCCCACAGCUCUUCCCUCCCAGGCCCUGGAGCAAGGCUCGUUCAGAGAGAAACAAGACCACCUGCGUGUGAAGUGCCUUCUGAUGGCCCUGGUGAUCUCUCACGUAGGAACAAAGUGUAAACUUCAAUUCGGCAGCUUAAGUACAGAAACUGACCCUGGUGCCUAAGUUAAUCGAGUUACAGGAUGAUCUUUUUAGGAUCAUUUUUCGGCUAUGACGCAUUUUAUUACUACUUUUCCUCCAGAUCUGUUCAGGUCUGCCACCCUCUGAUCUUGCCCAACCACACCCUGCCUGCGUCUGAGAAGGCUUUGCAGGGACCUGGUGGGGGGCUCCUAGGCUGCUCGCAGCACUGGCCGCUGCACCAUCUGGUACUCUCGUGCACGCUUCCCAAGAAGCAGGCAGAGUCCUGCACUUUGUUCCUACGACCUCGAGUCCCAGCAGAGCCCUGGGAGAUGCUCUUGCCCACAAGCCCUGCUCCUGGCCCAGACCGGGCUGAUUGACUGGGCACCUGAGAGGCAUGUAAAGAGUGUACAUCACAGGUACUCCCCCGGCCCAGACGCUGGCUGAGUGGUGGGGAGACCCUGAAGAGGGGAAUUCAGACGAGGCUGGCCAUCAAGGAGCCCCUCCGGCGUCAGAGUCAGCGGUGAGAGGACUUCACACCUAACGUUGGUCACAGGAGCACAGAGCAGGUGCAGCCCUGCCUGGGUGGGGCUCGGGGUCUCCGGCCCCUGAGAGCAGCACUGCCUGGAGGGAAGGUGCCCCAGCAGCCGACCAACUAGCCCCGGGGGCUACAGACGCCACCUCCUCUGCCUUACACACGGGCAAGCCCCCAAACCACUUUUAGGCACACACUGGGAGGCAGAACCUCUCAACUCCAGCCUUGCAUCUGAGGCCAACCCUAAAAUAUCUGCAUAUUAAACGACCAAGGACAGUUAAGCUUUCAAAGGGAGAAGAUCAAAGUGCUGUCAUCUUUGAAUUUAAUCCUUUUGUUGCAUCAGUGGUCUUAAGAGGGAUAAGAGAGAUCAAAAUAAAAAUGGAAACAAA